UACACCACUGCAACACUUCGGAAACACACAACAGAAACUGGGGAGAAGAAGCUAAUUAAUCGUCGGGGGAAACGCGCGCAUACCUGCGGAAUCGGCGCGCCCGCGUUUAGGGGGCAAACGGCGGCUUUAAACGGGAAGGUGCUCGCAGCUCACACUUUUUUUCACAUUGCUCAUGCAGAUUAAAUACAGCAUCAAACGGCUCGGAUGAAAGGCAAAUGGCCUCCGUACAGCCACCGCAGAACGUGCUUUGCAUAUUUCACCUUUAAUAUUGAUUUUUGAAGCAUUUGAAAACGAAGUGCAAUCAUUGGACUCUUUUUGUAGAUAAAAGGGCCGGCCUUAAAUGAUUAUAAGUUCAAUUCAAAUUACACUCAUAGCGUGCUUAUAAUGAAGUCGGCCUUGGGAGAGGAGAAGACCGCCCUCGGUUGAAAACGGGACUGGGAUCGCGGAGACGCACCUGUCGGUCCCUUGGGUGCUGGGACUGGACGGGGGGCCUAGGGUGACGGGACGGGUCUGACAUUUAGCGCCCGGUGCGCUGGAGCAGAGCGAAUCGGAAUCCCGCCGUAUUUAAGGACAGGACACAGUCUAUUUAUUGCGACGAGGCUCCCCGUGGUCCCUUAAAAAGGAGGCUGACAUGCAGAUGGGUGAGCAUUGAAACUGGGACCUUACGUAGAGGAUCCAGACGAUACAGGCAUCAUGGUGACGUUGGAGUGCCCUGACUUUAGAGCAUGUUCAGAGCUUGGCCGCAAUGCUGACCUGUCUGGAAUGACUGUCUCACGGUGAUUCAUCAGUUGAGACCUCCACGGACUCCUCUGCCCUCAUGACUUCUCCCACAAACACCUCGGACUCAAACAUAUGAAGAUGACUUAAUAUUGUCGUUGGCACUCCUCAGUCCUUCUCGGUAUACAGAGGAGAAAGGCUUCUGGCCUCGGUCAGGAUUACCUCACCCUGUUAAACACUGGACCGUUUCUAAAGUAAAACCAUACCUGUUGCGCAGGCACUGGGGGAAGGCUGGACGGCGUCUAUCGGCGCUGAUUUUUUUAAAAUAUUGUUCGAGUUACCAUCUCAACCGAGGAUGAAUAAAUGCAUUAACUGUA